rnacentral:siRNA from 1 species
ACAUGCAGGAGCUGUUCAGCUU